GCUCAGCUGUGGUGGAGGAAGCCAGACCAGGCCUGGAAAUGUCUGGUGCCUACUGCUGGCAAAACUAGCCGAGGAAUGGAAGCGUAAAGAAAUAUGCCCUGGUUAUGCACAAUGAGGGUUUAGGGCCAAAGAUGAAUAAGACCUGGCACCUUGAUGAGUGAUUUUGAAUGUCUGUCCCUGGAAGAAUGACUUCUCCGCCACCUUCCGUGCUCCUUGCACUCCGUGGUGAUGAGCAAUGAACGAUUCGCCGCUCGCUUUGUGUAUCUAACACUUGAUCUUACGAGCGAUGAAAAGCCAGGGUGUUUCAGAAUAAAUUACGGCAGCCUUCUGAAAACAGACAGAGGUUUUCUGCUGACACUUCAGACCCGGAGGGUUGGGGAGGGGGG